AGGACCGCGGCACUGACCGGAAGUGCCUUGCCGCGGAGCCUCUCGGAAGUUGUAGUUCUGCCGCAGUCCAGAGGCACCUACGCAGUGCAGGGGUGUCCGAGUGUGAUCUGCGCACUUCCGGACCCCAGGCUGGUCUUGCGGCGUCCAGCACUUCGGACCUGGUCGGUUCUGAGGUCUCCGCGGCACCUCGGACUGGUGGUUCCCUCGGCUGCCGGCUGCAGAGAGGGCACGUGUGACGGAAUCCACGCUGCAGAGCCAGGUUUUCUUAGUGUCUUUGCAAAGGCUUAGAAUCGGACCGUAGCUCAGGCGGCUCGGUCCUAUCUGCAUAUUCAAGCUUGUUUCUACCCCCAGAGAGUCUCGAGGCGGGAGCUGAGCCGCCAGCUGACGACGAAAGAAAAUGGGCGUGAGAGAGGCGCUCCGAGCCACCCAGCUCGCGCGCGCCGAGCCAGCACUACCCCCAGGGCUCCCGUCCGAGGAGGCGGGGCGGGGCCCUCACCGCUAAGCCCCGCCCCUCCCCUCCUCCACCCCCUCCGAGCUUCUCCCGGAUUUCCUCUCCUCCAGGGGCAGGAUCUUGAUAGGAGGUCAUGGAGAGAGAACCCAGUAAGAUGAUAUAUGUAUAUUUUUCUGAACUAUUUAAGUAUGAAACAAUGAGCACGUUUAUUGUUUAAGAAAUUAGCACAUGUAAAAACAAAUCCUACCGUGCAAAGGUAACGUUGUUAACAUUUUGCGUGUUUUCUAUAGGAGUUUUUCUUUACAUGUC
rnacentral:lncRNA from 1 species